GUUAACUUUUAGAAAGUAUUCUCGCACCGUAUAAAUACAUCUCAUUUUUCUCUGUUUUGUCAGUAGUUGUUUUUGGUAUUAUUCGUGCAACGUGGAAGCUAACUUAGUGGUUUGGUGUUCGUACAAAAAAGCAGUCCUAAAGAUCAUCUUAGUACUCUCAACCCGUAACCGCAAAUAGAAUAGCAGCCAAUCUUAAGCAUGGACUUAAGUCAACUGAAUCAAACCUGUCUUGCAGAAGGUGAUUUUGAGCAGCCGAUUGUCAAACUGCAUGAAUUGCCGAUAGGCGUUCCGUUUAAAAUUACUAGAGCCAAAAUUGUUAAUACAAAAUUUGGCAAUUCCGUGUUGCUGCAAUUAGAAAAUUCCGUAGUAUUUCUUCCUACUCGCGUGACAGAAGCUUUCCGUCCGAGACUAGAACACUUUGCGUCGGGGCAGUACAAACUGGUCUACGAGGGAUCCAAAGAUAUUGGAAAGCCCAACUCUUUAAAGAAAUUCAAAAUAAUUCAAAAUUAAUCAACAUAUUAUACAGGGUAAGUCUUAUUUACUGUUAUAUAUUUAAUAAACCACGAUGCGCGUAAAGCAGAUCAUUCAUAGAGCGCAAAUCUUAAUUUUAACCUUACAAAAAUUAAAAAAGCAUAUUUCCGACAAGUUCACUCUUAGAGAUAGUGAUGUGUGGCUUAGGAGACUAAGUAAAAAUAUUGAAUCUUGCAACCAAAUCGUUUCUAACGAAAAGGAUUUAUCUAUUGGGUUAAAAAGAAAAUUACAAACUACAAUUCAACAUCUGAAAGCUAUUAGAAAAAUUAUUCUUAAUUAUCAACAUAAGCAUUUUGGAUUGGGAUUACAAAGUAGUAGCCGCGAGACAAACACAAAUGAAAUGGUUGUAUGGGAAUCGGUAGCGUCGUGUUUCCAGGGAAGAGUUCAGACUGGUGUCAUAAUUAAUUUACUUCAUAAAGAUUUAAUUCAAUUUUUAAACGAUUCUCGUCCAAUAUUUCAACAAAAAAUUAGUCAAAUUUUAAAGAAAUUUUUAUUGCUGAAAGUAAAUACCACAUUUUGCGGUGAAUUUAUUAAGGCAAAAAAUGAUGUCCAAGGCGAAGUUGAUGUUAAAUAUCUGAGUACCGGAAAUGCUGUAGUUGAUUUAGGAACAGAAUUGAAUGAUUGGUUUGUUGAAAAUGUGCAAGAUAAAAUUUUAAAUCAAAUGUCAGAGUUUCAGGAACGUGAUUCCGGGUGGGCUUUAAAUAAUAUUAUUUAUUUAGAGAUUAACAUUAAUAAAUUUGAAAUGGGUAACGGAUCAUCCUUCGUUGUGCGACAUUGACCAAAUUAUGAUUAUCGAGCGGGCUAUACGAGGUGGAAUUUCGGUGUGUGUUGGUAGAUAUGCGGAGGCCAACAAUAAAUAUAUGCCCAACUACGAUUCAUCCAGGGAUGAUUCCUAUAUCAUGUACUUUGACGUCAAUAACCUCUAUGGCAAGGCCAUGUGCGAGCCUCUUCCUUACGGAGGAUUCGACUGGAUGUCUCAUCAAGAGAUUGAUUCAUUUACUGUCAUGAACAUUCCAGAUGAAUCUUCCCAAGGAUAUAUCCUAGAGGUAGACCUGGAAUACCCGCAGAAAUUACAUGACACACAUAGAGAUUUUCCAUUUUGUGCCGAACAUCGAGUGCCCCCCAAUUCAAAGUUACCAAAACUAAUGACUACUUUGUAUAAUAAAGAAAAUACGUCAUACACUAUCGCAAUUUAAAACAGGCUCUCAAAAACGGUCUCGUACUAAAGAAAAUUCACAAAAUAUUAAAAUUUAACCAAUCUCGUUGGUUGAAAUGUUAUAUCGAUCAUAAUAAUAAAUUAAGAACCCAAGCAAAGACAAAAUUUGGUAUAAAUUUAUACAAAUUGUUUAAUAAUGCCGCUUACGGUAAAACAAUGGAAAACAUUCGCAAGCAUCGUAUUGUUAAAUUUGUUAAAGCGUGGGAUGGUCGCUACGGUGCGAAAAAUUUAAUUUCUAGUCCUAGAUUUCACAGUAGAACCAUACUUGAUAACAAUUUGUUGCUUAUAGAAUUAAAAAAAUCGGAACUUUGCUUUAAUAAGCCACUUUAUAUUGGAAUGUCCAUAUUGGAUUUGUCGAAAACGACCAUGUACGAGUUUCAUUAUAAUUACAUGCUUCCAAAUUUGGGUCCCGAAAAAUGUAAAAUUCAAUACAUGGAUACGGACAGUUUCAUUUAUAAUAUCAAAUGUUAUGACGCAUAUGAAAGCGUUAUUAAGGCCGAUUUAACAAAAAUUUGACACGUCUGAUUAUCCUAAUGACAAUCCCUAUAAUAUACCGCAAAUCAACAAAAAGGUUUUGGGGUUGAUGAAGGAUGAGACUAAUGGCACCAUCAUUAGUCAUUAUGCGGGGUUAAGGUCGAAAAUGUAUACUUUCAAAAUUUUAACGGGUUCGGUAGUUAAAAAGUCAAAGGGUAUUCAGUACAAUAUUGUAAAAAAUAAAAUUUCAUUUGAUGACUACGUAGAAUGCUUAACAAAUUUUAGGGAAAAGUACGCCACUCAACGAACCAUUCGUUCAUACACUCACAAUGUAUUUAGCAUCGAACAAACAAAAGUUGCCUUGAGUCCUUUAGACGAUAAACGUUAUCUUUUGCCGAAUUCAUAUGAAACGCUUCCGUGGGGACAUUAUAAAGUGCCGUAAUUAUUUUUUAAUAUAUUUUUGUUACAGAUUAUGGUCAAACAACUUACAUUAGAAAGCCUUUGUAUUAUAACAAUUUGCGAAAAUAUUAGGUGUAGUGCUGAUUUUUUGCUUGAGUCACCUUUGCCUUGGAAACUAACGAUACUAAUAUUUAAAUAUUAUUCGAAAUAUAGAUGGAAGUACCUUAAACAAUUAGCGCUCCAGUCUGAUGGCAAUUCUUUAUUAAAUUUAGAAUUCAUUCUGUUGAAUAAGAGAUUUGGAUCGUCUUACAGAAAUAGCAUUUUGGCAACUCCAACCAUUGAUUUUGACGGAGAAUCCGCUUACUGUUUAUGGGUCAGUUAUUACAGGAUAAAAUAUUCGGAAAUUUUAGUUUGUAAAUCUUGUCACUUUAUAUUUCAACUAGUUAAAAAAUUUAAAAAGAAAAAUUUUAGACUUUUAUUGGAUCACUAUCAUUUACAGCUGGAUAUAAAUAAUUUGAAUGAUGUAUAUCACGAUAAACAAUUUUGGUGUCAAAGCUGCUUUGAAGAAGUUUUGUUCACUGUAGAAACUGAAGAUGAAUGUAAUUUAAUGCUUCACGAUGAGAGGAAAUAUGGAAAAAAGUUACGCUUUUCUGAUAGUCCAUUGAACUAUUAAUACUGUGGUUUUAUUAUAACAUAUGUAACUGUAGAUAAGACUUUUAUGUAUUGAUUGUAUUCCAUUGUAUUGCAACAAGA